AGACGUAGGCCCGGGGGUUCCCGGCCUGGCCGGGUAGCAGCGCGGGGGCGGCCCUGGGGCGGGGAGACAGGGGGCGGCUCCACUCCGGCGCUCUGCGGAGGACAGCAGCGAUCGCCAAGGCUCAGCUGGAGUGCAGUGGCAUGGUGGCAUGAUCUUGGCUCACUGCAACUGCUGCAUCCUGGGCUCAACUGAUUCUUCUGCCUCAGCCUCCUGAGUAGCUGGGACUACAGGCACACACUACCACGUCCAGGUAAUUUUUUUUGUAUUUUUAGUAAAGAGGGGGAUUCAUCAUGUUGCGCAGGGUGAUUUUUUUUUUUUUUUUUUAAUUCUUUUCUGAGACGGAGUCUUGCUCUGUCACCCAGGCUGGAGUGCAAUGGCGGGAU
rnacentral:lncRNA from 1 species